rnacentral:rRNA from 1 species
GACGAACGCUGGCGGCGUGCUUAACACAUGCAAGUCGAGCGGUAAGGCCCUUUCGGGGGUACACGAGCGGCGAACGGGUGAGUAACACGUGGGUGACCUGCCCUCAGCUCUGGGAUAAGCCUGGGAAACCGGGUCUAAUACCGGAUAUGACUCCAUGACGCAUGUUGUGGGGUGGAAAGCCUUGUGCGGCUGAGGAUGGGCCCGCGGCCUAUCAGCUUGUUGGUGGGGUGAUGGCCUACCAAGGCGACGACGGGUAGCCGGCCUGAGAGGGCGACCGGCCACACUGGGACUGAGACACGGCCCAGACUCCUACGGGAGCAGCAGUGGGGAAUCUUGCGCAAUGGGCGAAAGCCUGACGCAGCGACGCCGCGUGAGGAU